AGAAUCGGCGGUCAUCUAUGGCAUCGCAUAUCCGCAUGUAUCCUGAGGGACACAUGCGGAUAUGCGAUGCCAUAGAUGACCGCCGAUUCUCCAU